AGAGUUUGAUCCUGCUCAGGACGAACGCUGGCGGCGUGCCUAAUACAUGCAAGUCGAGCGGACCAACGAGGAGCUUGCUCCUCAGAGGUCAGCGGCGGACGGGUGAGUAACACGUGGGCAACCUGCCUGUAAGACUGGGAUAACUCCGGGAAACCGGGGCUAAUACCGGAUAACAUCUUCCUCUGCAUAGAGGAAGAUUGAAAGAUGGCUUCUGGCUAUCACUUGCAGAUGGGCCCGCGGCGCAUUAGCUAGUUGGUGAGGUAAGGGCUCACCAAGGCGACGAUGCGUAGCCGACCUGAGAGGGUGAUCGGCCACACUGGGACUGAGACACGGCCCAGACUCCUACGGGAGGCAGCAGUAGGGAAUCUUCCGCAAUGGACGAAAGUCUGACGGAGCAACGCCGGGUGAGCGAAGAAGGCCUUCGGGUCGUAAAGCUCUGUUGUCAGGGAAGAACAAGUACCGGAGUAACUGCCGGUACCUUGACGGUACCUGACCAGAAAGCCACGGCUAACUACGUGCCAGCAGCCGCGGUAAUACGUAGGUGGCAAGCGUUGUCCGGAAUUAUUGGGCGUAAAGCGCGCGCAGGCGGUCCUUUAAGUCUGAUGUGAAAGCCCACGGCUCAACCGUGGAGGGUCAUUGGAAACUGGGGGACUUGAGUGCAGAAGAGGAGAGCGGAAUUCCACGUGUAGCGGUGAAAUGCGUAGAGAUGUGGAGGAACACCAGUGGCGAAGGCGGCUCUCUGGUCUGUAACUGACGCUGAGGCGCGAAAGCGUGGGGAGCGAACAGGA
rnacentral:rRNA from 1 species